CUUAUCAAGAGCGGCGGAGGGAACGGCCCGAUGAAGCCCGGCAACCUGCUUUGCAAGGUGCCAAAUCCGGCGGUGCAAAUCGAAAGAUGAGG
rnacentral:ncRNA from 1 species